CAGGCUUAACACAUGCAAGUCGAGGGGCAUCAGGAAGAAAGCUUGCUUUCUUUGCUGGCGACCGGCGCACGGGUGAGUAACACGUAUCCAACCUGCCCUUUACUCGGGGAUAGCCUUUCGAAAGAAAGAUUAAUACCCGAUGGCAUAAUGAUUCCGCAUGGUUUCAUUAUUAAAGGAUUCCGGUAAAGGAUGGGGAUGCGUUCCAUUAGGUUGUUGGUGAGGUAACGGCUCACCAAGCCUUCGAUGGAUAGGGGUUCUGAGAGGAAGGUCCCCCACAUUGGAACUGAGACACGGUCCAAACUCCUACGGGAGGCAGCAGUGAGGAAUAUUGGUCAAUGGGCGCUAGCCUGAACCAGCCAAGUAGCGUGAAGGAUGAAGGCUCUAUGGGUCGUAAACUUCUUUUAUAUAAGAAUAAAGUGCAGUAUGUAUACUGUUUUGUAUGUAUUAUAUGAAUAAGGAUCGGCUAACUCCGUGCCAGCAGCCGCGGUAAUACGGAGGAUCCGAGCGUUAUCCGGAUUUAUUGGGUUUAAAGGGAGCGUAGGUGGACUGGUAAGUCAGUUGUGAAAGUUUGCGGCUCAACCGUAAAAUUGCAGUUGAUACUGUCAGUCUUGAGUACAGUAGAGGUGGGCGGAAUUCGUGGUGUAGCGGUGAAAUGCUUAGAUAUCACGAAGAACUCCGAUUGCGAAGGCAGCUCACUGGACUGCAACUGACACUGAUGCUCGAAAGUGUGGGUAUCAAACAGGAUUAGAUACCCUGGUAGUCCACACAGUAAACGAUGAAUACUCGCUGUUUGCGAUAUACAGUAAGCGGCCAAGCGAAAGCAUUAAGUAUUCCACCUGGGGAGUACGCCGGCAACGGUGAAACUCAAAGGAAUUGACGGGGGCCCGCACAAGCGGAGGAACAUGUGGUUUAAUUCGAUGAUACGCGAGGAACCUUACCCGGGCUUAAAUUGCAGUGGAAUGAUGUGGAAACAUGUCAGUGAGCAAUCACCGCUGUGAAGGUGCUGCAUGGUUGUCGUCAGCUCGUGCCGUGAGGUGUCGGCUUAAGUGCCAUAACGAGCGCAACCCUUAUCUUUAGUUACUAACAGGUUAUGCUGAGGACUCUAGAGAGACUGCCGUCGUAAGAUGUGAGGAAGGUGGGGAUGACGUCAAAUCAGCACGGCCCUUACGUCCGGGGCUACACACGUGUUACAAUGGGGGGUACAGAAGGCAGCUAGCGGGUGACCGUAUGCUAAUCCCAAAAGCCUCUCUCAGUUCGGAUCGAAGUCUGCAACCCGACUUCGUGAAGCUGGAUUCGCUAGUAAUCGCGCAUCAGCCACGGCGCGGUGAAUACGUUCCCGGGCCUUGUACACACCGCCCGUCAAGCCAUGGGAGCCGGGGGUACCUGAAGUACGUAACCGCAAGGAUCGUCCUAGGGUAAAACUGGUGACUGGG
rnacentral:rRNA from 1 species